GCCCUCGUAGCUCAAAUGGAUAGAGCGUUUGCUUGCGGAGCAAAAGGCUGCGUGUUCGAGUCACGCCGAGGGCA
rnacentral:tRNA from 2 species